AUGGCAGUGGUGAGCAUCUCUUUGGCUCUCCCCCUCCUGCCUCUCCUCCUCCUCCAUGUUGCCCCCGUGUGGCCAGCCGCUAUUACGGUUGGAGGUGGCGUGGGUGCAGUCAAUGGAGGAAGAUCACCAACAGCUGAAAGUCCCCCACCCCCGGCCAAGGUAACACCUACGACCCCAAGUACUCAGCCUGCACCUCCAGCCAAGGCAACACCUACGACCCCAAGUGCUCCGCCUGCAUCGCCAGCCAAGGCAACACCUACGCCCCCAAGUACUCAGCCUGCACCGCCAGCCAAGGUAGCACCUACGACCCCAAGUGCUCCGCAUGCAUCGCCAGCCAAGGCAACACCUACGACCCCAAGUGCUCAGCCUGCACCGUCAGCCAACGCAACAGCUACGACCCCAAGUGCUCAACCUGCACCACCAGCCAAGGUAACACCUACGGCCCCAAGUGCUCUGCCUGCAUCUAUUGCGCCAACAAGCAUGAAAGUGAAAUCCUCUUCUUUAAGAAGAGUUGUUGCAAUUGUAGCUCCUGUAGGCGGCUUCAUUUUGCUUACCAUCUUGUUCCUCCUCACCUACUUUAUACAUAAACGAACAACAGAGCAGCAACAGCAUGAGAUGGAGGAGGAAGAGUUUGGGGAGGUACAAGGAACUCCAAUGAGGUUCACGUUUCAGCAGCUAAAAGAAGCAACGGAGCAAUCCGCACACAAGCUCGGGGAAGGAGGAUUUGGGUCUGUUUUCAAGGGACAGAUAUCUGAUGAAAGGAUUGCAGUAAAACGUUUGGAUCGAGCUGGUCAGGGCAAAAGGGAAUUUGCUGCAGAGGUCCAGACAAUUGGCAGCAUUCAUCAUAUUAAUCUUGUGAGAUUGAUUGGUUUUUGUGCGGAGAAAUCGCAUAGGCUCUUGGUGUAUGAGUACAUGCCAAAAGGAUCCUUGGACAGAUGGAUCUAUUGUCAACAUGACAAUGAUUCACCUCCUCUACAUUGGAGCACACGGUGCAAGAUUAUCACUAACAUAGCGAAGGGUCUCACUUAUCUUCAUGAGGAGUGCAUGAAAAAGAUUGCCCAUUUGGAUGUCAAACCACAAAACAUCCUCUUAGAUGAUGACUUCAAUGCUAAACUUUCUGAUUUUGGACUAUGCAAGCUCAUUGACAGGGAUAUGAGUCAAGUCUUUACCAGAAUGAGAGGCACGCCUGGAUAUUUAGCUCCUGAAUGGUUGACAUCACAGAUCACGGAAAAGGCCGAUGUCUAUAGCUUUGGUGUUGUGGUCAUGGAAGUCAUCAGCGGAAGAAAGAACCUCGACAAUUCUCGAUCCGAAGAAAGCAUCCAUCUCAUCACCCAAUUGGAGGAAAAGGUGAAGACUAAUCGGUUGGUAGAAUUGAUUGACAAUAAGAGUAACGAUAUGCUAGCACAUAAGCAUGAUGUAAUUGAGAUGAUGAAGCUCGCAAUGUGGUGUUUGUAG
rnacentral:rRNA from 1 species